rnacentral:rRNA from 1 species
CCUACGGGAGGCAGCAGUGAGGAAUAUUGGUCAAUGGACGAGAGUCUGAACCAGCCAAGUAGCGUGAAGGAUGACUGCCCUAUGGGUUGUAAACUUCUUUUAUAAAGGAAUAAAACGAGGCACGUGUGCCUUUUUGCAUGUACUUUAUGAAUAAGGCUCGGCUAACUCCGUGCCAACAGCCGCUGUAAUACGGAGGAAUCGAGCGUUAUCCGGAUUUAUUGGGUUUAAAGGGAGCGUAGGUGGGUUGGUAAGUCAGUGGUGAAAGUUUGCGGCUCAACCGUAAAAUGGCAAUUGAUACUGGCAGUCUUGAGUACAGGUGAGGUAGGCGGAAUUCGUGGUGUAGCGGUGAAAUGCUUAGAUAUCACGAAGAACCCCGAUUGCGAAGGCAGCUUACUAAACUGUGACUGACAUUGAUGCACGAAAGUGUGGGGAUCGAACAGGAUUAGAUACCCUUGUAGUC